GAAGAUUCAGAACAAACAGAAAGAAGCAGAAUCAGAAGCUGAGUCAGAAGAAACUCAACAGAAGGAAGGUCUUCAGGAAGAGUUUGCAGAGGAAGAAGCUGAAGUAGAUGAGCUAGAGGAGUUGAUAGAAGAGCUUUCCCAGGCAGAAGAACAGAUGGAAGAUGAGCCAACAGGUAAAC